UGCGUAGGCGGUUUUGCAAGUCAGAAGUGAAAGACUACGGCUCAACCGUGGUAAGCUUUUGAAACUGCAAGACUAGAGUGCAGGAGAGGCAAGUGGAAUUCCUAGCGUAGAGGUGAAAUUCGUAGAUAUUAGGAGGAACACCAGUGGCGAAGGCGACUUGCUGGACUGUAACUGACGCUGAGGCACGAAAGCGUGGGGAGCGAACA
rnacentral:rRNA from 1 species